GAUGAACGCUGGCGGCGUGCCUAAUACAUGCAAGUCGAGCGAACAGACGAGGAGCUUGCUCCUCUGACGUUAGCGGCGGACGGGUGAGUAACACGUGGAUAACCUACCUAUAAGACUGGGAUAACUUCGGGAAACCGGAGCUAAUACCGGAUAAUAUAUUGAACCGCAUGGUUCAAUAGUGAAAGACGGUUUUGCUGUCACUUAUAGAUGGAUCCGCGUCGGAUUAGCUAGUUGGUAAGGUAACGGCUUACCAAGGCAACGAUGCGUAGCCGACCUGAGAGGGUGAUCGGCCACACUGGAACUGAGACACGGUCCAGACUCCUACGGGAGGCAGCAGUAGGGAAUCUUCCGCAAUGGGCGAAAGCUUGACGGAGCAACGCCGCGUGAGUGAUGAAGGUCUUCGGAUCGUAAAACUCUGUUAUUAGGGAAGAACAAAUGUGUAAGUAACUAUGCACGUCUUGACGGUACCUAAUCAGAAAGCCACGGCUAACUACGUG
rnacentral:rRNA from 1 species